rnacentral:rRNA from 1 species
GAUGAACGCUAGCGGGAGGCCUAACACAUGCAAGCCGAGCGGUAUUGUUUCUUCGGAAAUGAGAGAGCGGCGUACGGGUGCGGAACACGUGUGCAACCUGCCUUUAUCUGGGGGAUAGCCUUUCGAAAGGAAGAUUAAUACUCCAUAACAUAUUGAUUGGCAUCAAUUAAUAUUGAAAGCUCCGGCGGAUAGAGAUGGGCACGCGCAAGAUUAGCUAGUUGGUGAGGUAACGGCUCACCAAGGCGAUGAUCUUUAGGGGGCCUGAGAGGGUGAGCCCCCACACUGGUACUGAGACACGGACCAGACUCAUACGGGAGGCAGCAGUGAGGAAUAUUGGUCAAUGGGUGCAAGCCUGAACCAGCCAUCCCGCGUGAAGGACGACUGCCCUAUGGGUUGUAAACUUCUUUUGUAUAGGGAUAAACCUAUCCUCGUGAGGGUAGCUGAAGGUACUAUACGAAUAAGCACCGGCUAACUCCGUGCCAGCAGCCGCCGUAAGAC